rnacentral:rRNA from 1 species
AGUGAACGCUGGCGGUAGGCCUAACACAUGCAAGUCGAACGGCAGCACAGUAAGAGCUUGCUCUUACGGGUGGCGAGUGGCGGACGGGUGAGGAAUACAUCGGAAUCUACUUUUUCGUGGGGGAUAACGUAGGGAAACUUACGCUAAUACCGCAUACGACCUACGGGUGAAAGCAGGGGAUCUUCGGACCUUGCGCGAUUGAAUGAGCCGAUGUCGGAUUAGCUAGUUGGCGGGGUAAGGGCCCACCAAGGCGACGAUCCGUAGCUGGUCUGAGAGGAUGAUCAGCCCCACUGGAACUGAGACACGGUCCAGACUCCUACGGGAGGCAGCAGUGGGGAAUAUUGGACAAUGGGCGCAAGCCUGAUCCAGCCAUACCGCGUGGGUGAAGAAGGCCUUCGGGUUGUAAAGCCCUUUUGUUGGGAAAGAAAAGCAGCAGGUUAAUACCCCGCUGUUCUGACGGUACCCAAAGAAUAAGCACCGGCUAACUUCGUG